rnacentral:rRNA from 1 species
UACGUAGGGGGCAAGCGUUGUCCGGAUUUACUGGGCGUAAAGCGCCUGUAGGCGGAAGCUUAAGCGGUACCUGAAAGCCCCCGGCUCAACCGGGGAAGGUGGCGCCGAACUGGGCUGCUUGAGGGCGAUAGAGGAAGGUGGAAUUCCGGGUGUAGCGGUGAAAUGCGUAGAGAUCCGGAGGAACACCAGUGGCGCAGGCGGCCUUCUGGGUCGACCCUGACGCUGAGAGGCGAAAGCGUGGGGAGCGAACGGG